rnacentral:lncRNA from 10 species
CGCGCCCGGACUGUUUUUUUUGUUUGUUUUUUUUUGUUUUUGUUCUUUUUUUUUUAAAGUGAGCAGAACAUUGCGGCUCUAGUGAAGGUUACGCAUAGGCAAGCAGACGGGGUGUGAAAUUAGGAGGAAGGCAAGGGGCUCCCUGCAGAGAAUCUUGAAGGCCAGUCAUGCCUGCACUUCGUCAUUUUCUCAACAAAAUAUAUUAACAUAUAACAUUUAAUAUAUGGUAUAUAGUUUUUCGCUGCUAUAAGUGUAGGGGUGGAGGAUAUGGGGGCCACUUGUAAUAUGAGCAAAUAAUAACUUUGAUUUAGUAUCAUUUUGUCACAUUUGUUCUCAAAUAUUUAUUAUUUUCUUAACUGCUCAUGGGAGUACUGAAAUCCUAUAAUAUAUGUAUUUUUGGCUUUCUGGGGUUUGACUAAUAUAAGAUGAUAAAUCAUCCACCUGCAAACAUAGUGGACCUCUUCUGCAGAGAGACCAACAUUCAGGGUUCUAAAAGCCAAGCCUUCCCAGCAAUGUUCUCUCCAUCUCCCUGUGACUACAUCCCGCAGAAAGCUGUCAUUAGGAAGGAAACAUGGUGUUUGGACCAUUUGUACUGGUUUCUAAGUGAGUGUUAACACAGGAAUACAGAUGUACUAUGUGAGGUUUGGAUAAUGGACACUCAUUUAUAAGGUAAUUGUCACCAAAAAUAGGGGAUUAUGUUAAUUUUUUAUAGUCUGGGCAUUUUGCACUUUGAAAUGAGAAUGAAAAAAGAAGUAGCUACUGAGUGGGAUGAUGAAUGAAUGAGGGGACAGAGCCAGGGCUGACAUCCCAAGUAUUAGAUCCACAUAUUCUGUGUUGGAUCUUUUCCAGGGUAAAUUAUAGAGGAAAAUGCCAUUUGUCUUAUUUUCAUCCUUUCCAUCUGUGGAACUUGAAGAGUUACUACCAUUUUUUAUUGAGCUUGUUUUGAGGAGUAUUAAUUUAACUUUAUACAAAGAUGAAAAAGAAUGUAAAAUAAGAAUUUGGUUUCUUGGCAAUUCGAAAUGAGGUCACUGUUUUACAAGGCCUUAUCAUCCGUACAGUCAUUUUUUUAAGGGUAGCUAAUUAGCGGAGGAUCCAGUGGAGUUUUUAUACCCAGUAUGUCUAAGAAUCAUGUGGGCUUGGGUACUGGACUCCACUCCAGGGGGUUCUAUUUCAGAAGUUCUUAUGGCACAGAGAAGUAUGCACUUGAACAGGUGUUUUGUCUGAUUCUGAAGCAAGUGGUCUUCUGUCCAUGAGUGAUUACUACAGUGAGAUAGAUAAUAAAAGUUUGUUUGAACUGGGGCCUACACAUGCCUAUGGGAUCUAGGCAGGAAAUAUAAAUAACAGGGGCUGCCCGAUAGAAGCUGAUUAGGGCUUGGUGCCUAUUGCUGCAAGCUGGAAAACACAUGUAAAUGGAGCAACAGUGUCUCAAUUUUCACUUGUUGUUGUGAUGGGGGAGUGCGAUUCCAAUACUGCUAAAUGGCCUGAGCAUUCAACAGAUAUCAGAAAGCUGGAAAUCUAUACAAAGUCUCGUAAUAUUUAACUGUUGACACCUAAUUGAAAUAAAAUAAAGACUACGUGUUUGGCAGAUAAAAUACGUAUGCUGGAUUCCAUCUCUGAGCAGCCAGUCUGAUGUGUCUGGUCUAGAGAAAGGAAGAAAUAAAAGGUGUUGGGAUUGUGCAGGGUGAGUUUCAACGCUGUUAAGGCAGAGUGGUCUUAGGUGAUUCUCUUUAGAGAAGCUGUAUUUAAACUUCUUGUUCUAUGAACAGUGUCAGGGGCAAAACGGUGACAUGAUCAAAGAUAUUGUGGUUUGUGAUGCAAAAAUAGAAUAUUUGGCACCUAACACAAGCACAAAGAUCUAUUAUUUUCAAUUACUUCCUUAGAGUUUUUUUGGAAGAUUUAUUUUCAGAUUUGGAGGUAACCCAUUGCCAACCGUGUCCUGGGGGCAUGGGAGAUGGGUGGAUUGGCAUGGGCAAGAGGACUUGAGCCUACAGGUGGAAGUUAGGUGGGAGAUGAUAUUGGAGGCAGCAUCUUCCUGGGUGCCUGGAAUAGUAAUGUCUAAGGUGGCCUAAAGCUACACAUGGGGAAAUUAAAAGAAAAGACCUGAGAUGCUGACCCAGACAGUCAGGAACCAAGAGAACUGGAGGCAGAAUGAAGCUGGGAAUAAUGCUUUGGGCCAGAGCUCAUCAAAGGGCAAUCUUUUCUAUAAAGAAGUGAGCUCUAUUUGAGAAAAGAAUAGUUAAAUGUGUCUUGAGGGAUCCGAGUUCUCACCCAAAAUAUCUUUCUAUCCCUUCUGUGUACUCAAAAUGUAAAUACGUAUUCCAACCCCUUACCUCCCUCCUCACCAUCAUGUACUGACAUGGCCAAUGGCCUUGCAUAGCAGAAAGAUGAGCUCAGCUGAAGUCUCCUUUUUUAUGUCUGGGGCUUUGGAAUGGCUGCUGAAGGUGAGUAUGAAAUUAGAUUCUCUAGCUUGCCUUCUGCACCUAGAAGCAGCUCAGUUCGGGUCCAUGGCAGCCAGUAUUCACUAGGGGAGGGAAGUGGGCCAGAGAGUGGAAAAUGUCAGUGGUUCCCAAACGUAGGUCAGCACCUAUCGGUCAUUGCUCUGAUAAGCUCAUAACAUGGUGGUAGCAAACAAUCCUGAAUCGUAACACAGCAAAAUGGUAUUUCUCACUCAAGACUAUAUGACCAAUAGCGUUAGCAGGGAGUGUGUGUGUGUGUGUCUUGCUCAUUGUAGUUUCCUGGGUACUGAGGCUGAAACAAUAUGUCAAAGGUAAGUAAAUCAGGGCUUCAGGUACAUCAAAGAUAAGUACAUCAGGGGAAGAGGCUGGGAAGAACUACUUACUGGCUUUGAAGCCUCUGCCUGAAAGUAACACAUGUUACUUCUGCCUACAUUUCAGUGGUUAUAGCAAGUCACAUGGUCAUGCUUGCCUUCAAAAGAGGCAGGAAACUGCAAUCCUACCACAAGAUUAGAGCAGAGAAAUGGAACAUUUGUGAUCUCUCUGAGAACCUCCACAGACCUCAAGAUUCGGAUUCAUUAGAUUUUCCCCAAGUCAUUCUAAGUCUCUCCUACAUUUGGAAACCUCUGAUCUACCCAGUUCAUCUUUGGAGGAACUUCUUAGCUGAGAUUUGAGUCCUUUGUUGGUUUCUUGGCAAGGCAUCCUAAGUAUUGAGUAUAGAUUUGCAUUCAGAAGAUAUUCAAUGAACCAUUUUU